rnacentral:rRNA from 1 species
UACGGGGGGAGCAAGCGUUGUUCGGAUUUACUGGGCGUAAAGGGCGCGUAGGCGGUCAGCACAAGUCAGUUGUGAAAUCUCCGGGCUUAACUCGGAAAGGUCAACUGAUACUGUGCGACUAGAGUGCGGAAGGGGCAACUGGAAUUCUCGGUGUAGCGGUGAAAUGCGUAGAUAUCGAGAGGAACACCGGUGGCGAAGGCGCACAUCUGGCCCGAUACUGACGCUGAGGCGCGAAAGCUAGGGGAGCAAACGGG